rnacentral:rRNA from 1 species
UGUGUAGGCGGAAAAGUAAGCGUUUUGUGAAAGCCCCCGGCUUAACCGGGGAAUUGCUUGACGAACUGCUUUUCUUGAGGCAAGUAGGGGUGCGUGGAACUCUUGGUGGAGCGGUGGAAUGCGUAGAUAUCAAGAGGAACGCCAGUGGUGAAGACGACGCACUGGGCUUGUCCUGACGCUGAGACACGAAAGCGUGGGGAGCGAACAGGAUUAGAUACCCUGGUAGUCC